CAAGACCUUGCGCUCUUGGAGCGGCCGAUGUCUGAUUAGCUAGUUGGUGAGGUAAUGGCUUACCGAGGCGACGAUCAGUAGCUGGUCUGAGAGGACGACCAGCCACACUGGGACUGAGACACGGCCCAGACUCCUACGGGAGGCAGCAGUGGGGAAUUUUGGACAAUGGGGGAAACCCUGAUCCAGCCAUGCCGCGUGAGUGAAGAAGGCCUUCGGGUUGUAAAGCUCUUUCAGCCGGAACGAAACGGUCACGGCUAAUACCUGUGAUCACUGACGGUACCGGAAGAAGAAGCACCGGCUAACUACGUGCCAGCAGCCGCGGUAAUACGUAGGGUGCGAGCGUUAAUCGGAAUUACUGGGCGUAAAGGGUGCGCAGGCGGUUUUGUAAGUCAGAUGUGAAAUCCCCGGGCUUAACCUGGGAACU
rnacentral:rRNA from 1 species